UUGAAGAGGCUGAGGGAGGCGGUGUCGCCGCCGCGGCGCUGUCAUGGAGCUAGCGCAGGAAGCGCGGGAACUGGGUUGCUGGGCGGUCGAAGAGAUGGGGGUGCCCGUGGCGGCCCGGGCCCCGGAAUCGACGCUGCGCAGGUUGUGUCUGGGCCAGGGGGCUGACAUCUGGGCCUACAUCUUGCAGCAUGUGCACAGUCAGAGGUAAGCUGGGCUAGAGCAGGGGAGGGGGCACAGGUGAGGCCCAUAGUAACUCCUCUUUCUGCCUCUGCACUGUAGGACUGUCAAGAAGAUCCGGGGAAACUUACUCUGGUAUGGCCACCAGGACAGUCCACAGGUCCGUCAGAAGCUAGAGCUGGAAGCUGCUGUGACCCGCCUGCGGGCAGAAAUCCAGGAACUCGACCAGAGCCUGGAGCUGAUGGAGCGAGAUACUGAGGCUCAGGGUGAGCCAUGGGGCCAGAAGAUGGGCACCAGAAUGUGGGGCGGGAAAGGUGCUGAUGGCCACCCCUGUUCCUCCCACAGACAUGGCCAUGGAGCAGGCACGUCAGCACACUCAAGACACCCAGCGUCGAGCUCUCCUCCUCCGGGCCCAAGCUGGGGCCAUGCAAAGACAGCAGCAUAGGCUCCGAGAUCCCAUGCAGCGGCUGCAGAAUCAACUGAGGCGCCUGCAGGACAUGGAGAGGAAAGCCAAAGUAGAUGUGACCUUUGGAUCCCUCACGUCGGCAGCUCUGGGCCUGGAGCCCGUGGUCCUGCGUGAUGUCCGAACAGCCUGCACCCUCCGGGCCCAGUUCCUGCAGAACCUCCUGCUUCCCCAGGCCAAGAGGGGCAGCCUCCCAACCCCUCAUGAUGACCACUUUGGCACUUCGUACCAGCAGUGGCUGAGCUCAGUGGAGACGCUGCUGACAAAUCACCCCCCAGGCCACGUCCUGGCUGCCUUGGAGCACCUGGCUGCAGAGCGGGAGGCAGAGAUUCGAUCCCUGUGCAGUGGGGAUGGGCUUGGCGAUACAGAGAUAUCCAGACCCCAGGCCCCGGACCAGUCAGACUCCAGCCAGACCCUGCCGUCCAUGGUUCAUCUCAUCCAGGAGGGCUGGCGGACUGUGGGUGUGCUGGUCUCCCAGCGGAGCGCCCUCCUGAAGGAGCGGCAAGUCUUGACCCAGCGCCUCCAGGGCCUGGUGGAGGAGGUGGAGAGACGCGUCCUGGGAUCCAGUGAGAGGCAGGUGCUGAUACUGGGACUUCGGCGCUGUGGCCUGUGGACAGAGCUCAAGGCCCUGCACGAUCAGAGCCAGGAGCUGCAGAAUGCAGCCGGGCAUCGGCAGCUCCUGCUGAGGGAGCUACAGGCCAAACAGCAGCGGAUCCUGCACUGGCGCCAGCUGGUGGAGGAGACCCAGGAACAGGUCCGCCUGCUCAUCAAGGGAAACUCGGCCAGCAAGACCCGCCUGUGCCGGAGCCCGGGGGAGGUGCUAGCUCUGGUCCAGCGAAAGGUGGUCCCUACAUCUGAGGCAGUGGCACCACAGAGCCGGGAGCUGCUGCGCUGUCUGGAGGAGGAAGUCCGGCAUUUGCCCCACAUUCUGUUGGGCACGCUGCUGCGGCACAGGCCGGGAGAGUGAGACUGGGGCUGCCCCACCCCUGCCCUGCAUCCCCUGCCAUGGGUGACUGUCACUCCCUGAACCUCCUCAAAAAAGAUAACCCCAGACCCCCAGUGUUCCCAGGCUGCCAGACCUCACCCUUGGGUCAGCAGCCCUGGUCUUGGCAUCCUAGUCCCCAGACCCACCUUGAAGUUCCUGGGCCCCCAGAGCCUCCAGAACCCAAGGCCUCCUCUCAGUCCCCACCCAACCCAGACUUCUCCCCGCCCGUAGGUUGAAGCCCCUGCCCACGGUCCUCCCAUCCAUCCACCAGCUGCACCCCGCAUCCCCAAGGGGCUCCAGCUUCAUAGCGCUGAGCCACAAGCUGGGGCUGCCUCCAGGGAAGGUGAGUGCCCGUCUCCUGUGACUUGUCUCCCCAGCCCCACCCCAGGUGACCGUCCUUCCCUCCUCCUCCAGGCCUCGGAGCUGCUCCUGCCGGCGGCUGCCUCUCUUCGCCAGGACCUUCUGUUCCUGCAGGACCAGCGGAGCCUCUGGUGCUGGGAUCUACUCCACAUGAAGACCAGCCUGCCGCCAGGCCCUCCCACCCAGGAGCUGCUGCAGAUCCAGGCAUCCCAGGAAAAACAGCAGAAAGAGAACCUGGGGCAGGCUCUGAAGAGGCUGGAGAAGCUACUGAAACAGGCGCUGGAGCGAAUCCCUGAGCUGCAGGGGAUCGUGGGGGACUGGUGGGAGCAGCCAGGCCAGGCCGCCCUCUCUGAGGAGCUCUGCCAGGGCCUGUCCCUGCCCCAGUGGCGGCUGCGCUGGGUUCAGGCCCAGGGGGCCCUGCAGAAGCUGUGCAGCUGAAGAGAGGGUUCAAACGGAAGCCAAGAACUUGACACUGCUCACCCCAACACCUCACCUCCCCCAGGACAUUUGGAAGAAAGCAGCGCCAGGAUUCCUCAGCAGUCGUCCCCACCCGCACCUGCAGUCCCCUCAUGUGCUGUUCUGCUGCCCCACUCAGCUCCUGGACCCUGUCCUUUCAUCCCGCUAAAGCACCCCCUGAAACCCCUUCAUCACUUUCAUUCUCAGCAAAAAGUAAUUGAGCACCUCCUCUAGGCGCUGGGGAGUCCACACUGAACAAAAGAAACAGAAAACCCUGUCUUCCAGCAGUUGAGUUCUAGGGCAGGGAGACAGAGUUUACAAGAUAAGGAAAAUAUAUAUGUAGUAUGCUGCAAGUUAACUGCUGUGUGGGAAAUCCAGCAGGGGGUGGGAUGUGUGAUUUGAAUUGAGGGCCACACUGCCCAGGUCGUGCUCCGUCAAGGGGUGAGCAGGAGCAAUGGGGGUGGCUGAGUAAGGGCUUGCAGCUCGAGGCAACAGCACAUGCAAAGGCCCUGAGCCAGGAUGUGCUGCAAUAAGGGCCAUUGAGGG
rnacentral:sRNA from 1 species